GAAGAUGAAUUGUCUCUUUAUGUUUCUUGCUCUUAAUUGCUUUACCAGUGUGAAGAAUUAUGGCGAGGCAAAACACAUUUACCUCGGUUAGCAAAAGUAAAUGAUUUGUCGAAGUUGGUCGUUUACUCACUGUCUGUAAUGGAUGGUAAACGUAAGCGAAUAAGAAAGGAGGAUUUGUAUGAUCAUGUGUGGGAGUUCCAUUUCACCGAGGAAUGGAACUGGACGUCCCCUGCGCCGUUAUUUUCUUCCAGAUGGAAGUCAGACUGCAGAACCAGAUGACAAGAUAUGGGGUGGUCAUGAAUCUUGCUACUCCAUAGUAACUAGCUUGCUUGCAGAUGGAAAUAUAAGAGAACACUACGUGAGGAUAAACCGUUGGCCGCCUAUGUAUGUGACAAGGAAGGAAGAUUGGAGCUGGGAGAUCUCUAACAACUUUUGUACCUACAAGAGCAUACCAGAUGCUGAUAAAAAAGAUGGCACUGGACCUUUGUUUCUACUUCACUAGGCCUCUACAGUAGUUUCUACUUUGAAGCCAAACUAUGGAGAUGUUUGUUUGAAU
rnacentral:misc_RNA from 1 species